UUUCUUCUGGAGGAGAUGACAUUUGAGCAAGAUCUUAAAGAAAAUCAGAUGCCUUCACCUGACCACUGCUUGGUGAUCCCAUGGCCCUUUGUACAUCUCUCCAUUAGGUCUCAUCUCACCAGCCCAUAAUUAUUGUAUGUGCUGCCUUCUGAAGCUUGCAGCUGGCUACAUCAGUCCAAUGUGAAUAACAAAAUGAAGAAUAUCAGGAUGAUUCGAGACCAGGAAUACUACAGAUGUCCAACACUUCCACCUGGAAUCCCCAAAGAGGCCUGCUGUUAGCCUCCACACUGGUUGGUGACCUGGCAUGGCAGAAAUGACAGAAAUCUCAGAAGACUGGCCUCAUGAAUAAUCUUCAGUAUCAAUGUCACAAAGCAAGCCUUCUAGAAAUUACCUGACUCUGCAGUUCACUCUGCUGCUUCAGAUGAAAAUUUUCAGGGUUCCACUCCCGGAGAAUACAGGUCAGCAACUGUUUAUUGCAAUCAGCAAUCAGGAUGGCAAAUUCGUGCUGUGGGGGCCAAUCCAGGGGUUCCCUGUCUGUUAUGAGCAGUGGGGAGUGUGUAGAACCCAUGGGAGAUGGGCUUGGGUCAAUUAAAUCUUGUUGAAGGUGUAGAUAAGGGUGUUAGCUCC
rnacentral:lncRNA from 1 species